rnacentral:rRNA from 1 species
GACGUAGGGUGCGAGCGUUGUCCGGAUUUAUUGGGCGUAAAGAGCUCGUAGGCGGCUUGUUACGUCGGCUGUGAAAACCCGCGGCUCAACCGCGGGCCUGCAGCCGAUACGGGCAGGCUAGAGUUCGGUAGGGGAGUCUGGAAUUCCUGGUGUAGCGGUGAAAUGCGCAGAUAUCAGGAGGAACACCGGUGGCGAAGGCGGGACUCUGGGCCGAUACUGACGCUGAGGAGCGAAAGCGUGGGGAGCGAACAGG